rnacentral:rRNA from 1 species
UGAGUAACGCGUGGGAACGUACCCUUUGCUCGGAAUAACUCCGGGAAACUGGAACUAAUACCGUAUGUGCCCUUCGGGGGAAAGAUUUAUCGGCAAGGGAUCGGCCCGCGUUGGAUUAGCUAGUUGGUGGGGUAAAGGCCUACCAAGGCGACGAUCCAUAGCUGGUCUGAGAGGAUGAUCAGCCACACUGGGACUGAGACACGGCCCAGACUCCUACGGGAGGCAGCAGUGGGGAAUAUUGGACAAUGGGCGCAAGCCUGAUCCAGCCAUGCCGCGUGAGUGAUGAAGGCCCUAGGGUUGUAAAGCUCUUUCACCGGUGAAGAUAAUGACGGUAACCGGAGAAGAAGCCCCGGCUAACUUCGUGCCAGCAGCCGCGGUAAUACGAAGGGGGCUAGCGUUGUUCGGAAUUACUGGGCGUAAAGCGCACGUAGGCG